CCCAUUAGAACUUCAUAGUUAAGAGUGCUCAAGAUAGAGUAGUACUGGGAUGGGUGACCACUCAAGAAGUCCUAGUGUUUUACAUGCC
rnacentral:rRNA from 1 species